AUGUCUGUUGUGAAAAGCGACUUGACUUGAUACGACAAUUCCUCUCCCAGCUUUUAAAAUACAGACAGGCAUACUUUUAGUAAACUACAUUCACUUUUGCAGAAUGAUUCCUUUAAAAAAGAUAUUAGAGACACCAAAUUGAUGCUUUUUUCUGUUUUAGUUAUGGAUGAAGCAGAGCAAAGCAUUGUAACUAGUGCAAUUAAUGAUGUGCUCAAAUACUUUUCUUCUUCAGUGCUGCAAUCAGUUGUGGAGACAUUGAAUUUACUUGCAGUAUCAACACCUGAAGAUUUUAACUGUUCAGGAAGUAGAUCUCCUGCCAGUAUUAUGGCCCUUUCAAGCCAGAAAACUUGUAUCUGCUUGGAGCUGUAUAGACAUGGCGGUAGACAAGUUACCAGCAACACAAUGCAUCAUUGUCUGAGAGUGUAAAGGCUAAGACAUCAUCGAGGACGAGGACACUUGUUUACAGAUGUACAAGAGACUGCAAUAAUAAAUAUGGUUUUGGCCAACAAUGCAAUUAGGAUUCGAGAGAUAAGAGAGCAUAUCUUGAGUAUUGACACCAUAUUUAACAACAUCAAUGCUGUAAGCCUGUCGACCAUACAACGCAUCCUCCAACGGCAACAAGUGAUGAUGAAACAACUUUACAAGGUGCCAUUUGAGAGAAACUCUGACAGAGUCAAGAAUCUGCGACAUGACUUUGUAGAGGUAUGUAUGCAACACUACUUCCAGUACUUCAGACAUACCAUAUUUACUCAUUUGUAUAUCAUUUUGUCUGUUACAGAGAGUAUUGGAGAUGGAUGCCCAUGUAAUUCGUCAUGAAUUUAUUUAUGUGGAUCAGCUUGGCUUCAACCUCACCAAAACCAGGCGCUGUGGACGAAAUGUAAUAGGACAGAGGGCAAUUACCAAUGUCCCUGGACAGCGUGGGGGUAAUAUAUUCAUGUGUGCUGCCAUCACUCAAAACGGGGUCCUCCAUCACAAUGCCACACUGGGUCCAUACAACACCGGCCAUAUACUCACUUUUCUGGAUGCAAUUCACACAAUGCUUGUCCCUGAUCCAGAUCAGGCACCUGCUAGGUUUGUGGUUAUAUGGGACAAUGUUAGUUUUCACCGGGCUGUUCUGGUCCAAAACUGGUUUGCCACCCAUCCACAAUUUGUAGUUUUGUACCUACCCCUAUA